AGGUGAUCCCUGUCCUGCACCUUGCACCAGCUGCCACAAACUCAGUGCAAACCUGAGCUACUCAGACCUGUCUGUGACACAGGGUCAGAGCUCCAUAGACCAAAACAGCUUUUUUUGGUGUCCUGCCUCAUUGGAAACUGACCAAGAGAAAUAGUUCCUCUGGCAAAAUCCUGGCUCCUUGAAAGAAAAGCACAUUAUGAAACUGCCUGCUUUGAAGAAACGAGGAAUGACUGCCAUUUACCACCUUUCUCAAUUAAACAGUCCCACAAUUCAGGUAUGUAGCAAUAUGUUCAAG
rnacentral:lncRNA from 1 species